UUCAUGUCAGUUCCGGUGUUAUGCUGACAAAUGCAUGUCUGCUAAGAAAUGCAUUCACCUCGCAGGUCAAUACAGAAUAUAUGAGACCAUAGACUAUAAAUAUUAAGUGUCAGAUACAUUUUCUACACUGCCGUAUUUUAUUUUGCAUCCACCGUUAAAUUAAUCUACGGACGCUUUAGAGUCAAACACUUGUUUUGCAGCUCAGGCUUUGAAAACCCUGCUUCUACCGAGCCUCCAGAACAAUACGGACAUUAAACGUUUAGCUUUGAGCCGAGAGAAAAAAACAUGGGAAGAAAGAAGAAAAAGCAAAUGAAGCCUUGGUGCUGGUACUGUAACAGAGACUUUGACGAUGAGAAGAUUCUCAUUCAGCAUCAGAAGGCCAAACAUUUCAAGUGUCACAUCUGCCAUAAGAAGCUGUACACUGGUCCCGGGCUCGCAAUCCACUGUAUGCAGGUACAUAAAGAGACCAUCGACGGAGUUCCUAAUGCGAUACCUGGACGGACAGAUAUAGAGCUAGAAAUAUACGGCAUGGAAGGGAUUCCAGAAAAAGACAUGGACGAGAGGAGAAGAGUGUUAGAACAAAAGAACCAAGACACUCAGAAGAAAAAGCAGAAUCAAGAUGAUUCUGAUGAGGACGAUGAUGAUGACGAGCCGGGUCCUUCCUUCCAGCCGCCCGCUGCAGUUCAGCCGCAGGCGGGCUUCAUCCCGCCGAUGACCCAGCCAGGCAUGCUUCCUGGCUCGAGUACACCAGGGAUACCACCGGGCAGCUACUCAGGAAUUCCUCCCAUGAUGCCCGGUGUGCCACCCAUGAUGCCAGGAAUGCCGCCCUUACUGCCAGGAAUGCCUCCAGGGAUGAUACCAAUGGGCGGGAUGAUGCCUCCAGGUGCAGGGAUGCCGCCAAUGAUACCAGGAAUGCCACCAGGCAUGCCUCCCCCUCUGGCCCACCGUCCAAGCAUCACACACAUGGCUCAGGUUGCUGCUGCUGCUGCUGCUGCAAACAUGCUGACUAGACCAACAGUUCCUGCUGCCUCUCAGCCCUCAGCCCAGCCGGAUGUCUCCAAGCCUCUCUUCCCCAUUGCUGGACAGAUUGGCAGUCGCGUUGCAAGUACAACCGCAGACCCGUCAUGUUCAGACUCUCAGUCUUCCUCUCCUAAAGCUCUGUUCUCUAUCACAUCACAAAUCCAGCACGCAGUAUCAGGGUCCCCUCACUUCCCCCCCUCCACAUCCUCUGACCCUACAAAGUCCACAUUUCCAAACUACACGCAGGCCACUGUAGCAGGGUCCAGCCCCACCGCUGGUAGCAGUAUAGUCUCCAAACCUCCCUCCACUGUGACCAGUAAGCCUGCCACCCUCACCGCCUCCAGUGCAACCAGUAAGUUGAUCCACCCUGAUGAGGAUAUCUCACUGGAGGAGUUUCGAGCUCAGCUGCCCAGAUACCAGCGCAGUCUUCCCCGCCAAGGCCAGACGGCCGCCGCCUCCCAGUCAGUGGGUCCCAUGGGUGGCAUGAUGUCUCCUCAGCAGGCCAGCAUGAGGCAACCCUUACCUGGCCAGUAUGGGGGUCCACCCCAGGGAAUGCCAGGCUACAUACCAGGGAUGCCUCCAUACGUACAGGCCCCUCCUGUGGGUCCCCCAGGGUACCAGGGAGCCCCUCCGCGCCCCCCUUUGGGUGUGAGGCCCCCCGUCAUGUCUCCUGGAGGCCGCUUCUGAAGCCCACCUCCCUCUCUUCAAUAGGUGUGUAGAAGUGUUGUAGAUUUGGUUCGUAGUGUUGUGAAGGCGCUGGAGUUACAUGGGCAGUACCCCCCCUCCCCCCUUUAUCAAGCGAUGCCCUGGGGGACUGGCUGAGGCCGUGUCUCAGUGUAGCCCUGUUCAGCCUGAGGCAAGUCUCACCGUUUUCUGUUUCUCAUUCAUUAGCAGGGGCCCUCACAGCGAGCUCGCUGUUGGAUCUACAUGUCCCCAAACUUGCAGCAAGUUUGGUGAAGGCCCUUGUUUGUGUUGUUGCGUAUCCAGGCAUGUUAGCUCAUGUGAAAAACAGGUUCAUUCUUUCUAAUGAGGCUGAAAUGUGCCCUGUUUCUGAUUGGUCAGAGCAUUAAAACGCUUGGUUUUCAUUUGAUAUCUUAACAUUUACAGCUAUCAAAUGAAACUCUUUAAUUCUCAUAUUAACUUAUCCCAAAGUGUAAAACAGUGAUGGUCAAAACUCAAACACUGGGACAGACCCUUCCUCCACAUGUUCUCUAAAUGUCAUGCUUGUUUGAGGGUUUGUGAUUGAACACGUUACCUUUCAUAUGCUUGUUAAACUCAACCCUGUUUGUUUUAUCAGCUGUCCUCACUUGAUCAUUUGAGUUUAAUGAAGGAGAGUCUCUGCCACUCACAGGUUAGUUAAAGCUGUAAGUACCACUGCGUUCAUUUUUUCCUUCUGUCCUGUUUUUUUAUUUCACAAGUAGAGGAAUUCAUGUUUCAUCUUGUUAAGGUUUACAACAACGGCAGCCAAUAUUUCAGUUUGAUAACUUCACAAUAAAUCAGGGUUGAUCUUGAGUUGAAACAUGUUCAAUGGUUCUGCCUGAUGUGAGCAGCAUCUCAACGUGGUUUUGAAAACUCAACGCAUGCUCUCGAUUUAAUGUUCUACUCGAGUCAUCGCAGGCACAGACUCCACUGGUAAGUACUGGCUCAUGUCUUUGUUAAAGAUGCUAAACCAGUUAACUUAUUGUGUGUCUUUAAACCUGCUCAUCAGUUCAGUUAAAUGAAAAGGUUUCACACAUCUUCUGCACAUCCACUUCAUUAUUAGUCUGAACAUCGUCUGCUACUGGGUCAGAUUUAAAGGUUUGGAAGAGACACUUCUCUGCUCUUAAGUUCAGUCCAAUCUUCAGUUUUAAUAACGAGUACAUGUGACAUCUUCACCACAGUCUGGAUGUUUGUUCUUCUUUUAAUAAACCACUUUAUUCAA